CUAUCAGUGGCAGAUUAUAUGCGUAAGACUUAAGAUCUUACCAAGAAGAUUACUUCCUGAUAAG
rnacentral:tRNA from 1 species